UGAACGCUGGCGGCGUGCCUAAUACAUGCAAGUCGCGCGAACAGACGCGGAGCUUGCUCCUCUGACGUUAGCGGCGGACGGGUGAGUAACACGUGGAUAACCUACCUAUAAGACUGGGAUAACUUCGGGAAACCGGAGCUAAUACCGGAUAAUAUAUUGAACCGCAUGGUUCAAUAGUGAAAGACGGUUUUGCUGUCACUUAUAGAUGGAUCCGCGCCGCAUUAGCUAGUUGGUAAGGUAACGGCUUACCAAGGCAACGAUGCGUAGCCGGCCUGAGAGGGUGAUCGGCCACACUGGAACUGAGACACGGUCCAGACUCCUACGGGAGGCAGCAGUAGGGAAUCUUCCGCAAUGGGCGAAAGCUUGACGGAGCAACGCCGCGUGAGUGAUGAAGGUCUUCGGAUCGUAAAACUCUGUUAUUAGGGAAGAACAAAUGUGUAAGUAACUAUGCACGUCUUGACGGUACCUAAUCAGAAAGCCACGGCUAACUACGUG
rnacentral:rRNA from 1 species